ensembl:lncRNA
GCGGUCAUCGCAUGAAAAGUUACAUCCUCCUGGGCAACAUCAAAGGGCAGGGUGAUCAUUUUCUUUGAGGAGGAUGAGCAGCUGGACAGAGUGCUGGGCUUCUUGACAAGCCUGGUUGAAGCACAGACAACCAGAUGUCACAAUCACGUGGCAUUUGUUAUGGAUGUGCUUCUGCCAGAGGCAACAGUCCAUGCCCUUUCAGCUGUCCAUGCAUUUUCCAUUGACAGAGCGACAGAAGUGUAUAAAUGUGGACUGCAGUAUGAUUUGAGUGAGAAACGGCUGUUGGCUCAUUACAUGACAAAAAACAUGAGCAAGGAGGCUCUACAGCAACUAGAAACAUAUGCUGAAAAACUCAGAAGAGUUCUGGACUCUGAGGAGUUUUUGAAGAGGCUUUAGUAUGUAUGUAGGAUGAAUUAAAAAAUAGUCUGUGAAAUGAUAAUGUUUUAUUUUAUUGCCAAUAAAAGUUGUUGCUGGCUAAUUCAUUUGUCUCAACUUUUGUGUUUUGAGGUACAUAUUUUAAAGACCUGUGUAUGGUCAUAUUUAUAAAUACAUAAAUACAUUUUAUUUGUGUCAAAGGGCCAGCAGUCUUUUCUGUUAACCCAUAAGAAAUCAUCACCUUAGAGUGAUAUUUAUGGCAUCUGAUGUAGUAGGCCAAGCUCUGUGACAGUGUGGCUCUUAGAAAAACGGCAGUUGGAAACAACCUAUUUUAAUCGAAAUGACUACUACUAAUUAUUAUUAUUAUUGUAAAUUUUAUUGAGUUUAAAAUAACCUUGUACACAUACAUUAGUCACUUAUAUAAAAAAUGAAAAGAUGCAUGCACCAGAUUUAGCAGUCCUAUAUAAUCUUUUAUCAGAUUAAUCUUUUAUCCCAAUCUUUUAUUACUUAACUUUCUACUUUUGUAUAUAUUUAUUGUUUCAAGCACAUUGUUUGCAUUGGAAAGCAUUUAAUGUUGUGAAUCAACCGUUAAAGUUGUUAAAAAUGAUCUGGUUAUUGCUUUGUUUCCUUUGUAUUUGCUUUCUAAGUGUUCUGGACCUCCACAGCCACCGUAGUGUCGUAUGGGCAUGUUUUGUAGGGGGCGUGUUUUGUAAUGGGCGUGGUUUGUAGCGGCUCUGGCUUGGCUGCGGCUGCAGCUAGACCCUUCUCGUAAAUUCAGGUCAUUCACGGCAUGGCGUCCAAACUAGCGUAUUCAUCUGGCGCAGAAAAAAGAAGAAACUAGAUGAAGAAAAACGCUCGCUGGAUAAAGGUAAGGGUUUUUUUUUCCGUUAUGUGGGUUGGAGGGGCUAGCUAAAAUGCCGAUUUUUUUAGCUAGCUUAAGCGUUUGCUUUAGGAGAGGGCUAAAAUGAAAUGUAUCUCACAUGUGAAUGCCAUAACACUGAUUGGCUGAAGUGACACCCGUUUUGGUGAAUCACAGCAGGUCCAGUUUGUUGGCAUUAUAUUUGUGAGGGAGGGUGUGUGUGUUAGGCAGAUAUCUGUCAUGUCUGCUGUAUCCUCAUCCAGUGGAGCUGCUGGUCCAUCAUAGACCUCCUCUGCUCUUCAAUAUUUGUCACAUAACAUUACUUUAGGAUUGUUUUUAUGAUUAAUUUAUCAAUUUUAGUGUUUCCUCAGUUUGUAGGUCUCUAAUGUGAAGUGUGCUAAACAACCCUAAUGCAUAUGAGGCCUACUGUGGAUUAUUAUGGACUAUUGUGGCCAGGGGCGGUUCUAGGGGUGGGCCAACAGGGGCCAUUGCCCCCGUAACUCCAAGUCUGGACCCCCCUGUGGCCCCCCCAACAGGGAGUCUGCAUCAAUGAUACAAUGACAGAUUUCUUGCAUGGAUUUUGUUUUGAAGGGAAAGGCAGAAAUAAAGUGUCUCAGCAGUUUACUUCACAAUCAACAUUGCUGAAAUUGUAAACACUGUUUUGUCUGAAUGAGGGAUUUAUCUUUUUUCCGGGUUGUAUGUGCCCCCUAACAAAAACGCCGGCCCCAACCUGGCCCCCCUAUUAAAACUGGUCUAGAACCGCCACUGAUUGUGGCAGUAGAUUAUUGCUCUGCGGGGAUUAUUGUUAACUCUACUGAGCUAGUUGUGUCUUACUUUUCCACAUUUAUUGUGACAAUAUAAUUUGAACACAUUUGCCUACAUUCCUAUAGUUUAGUAAUGUUUUUGAUGUAUUACUUUGUUUUAUUCAAAAGAAUAAUAAUAACACAAAUUAAAGUCAAUUUAAACUGAACUAUACUAUAUAGGACCUUUAGUUCUGCCCACAGAAUAUAUGUUAAGACCAAAUCAUCAGUUAAGCAAGUAGUUCACUUUGUAAUACUCUGUGAAAUAUAGAGAUAUUCCUUCAAUAUCACAUAAAGCUCAUCAGUCAUUUAUCUUUGUUUUAUAACUCUUUGAAACUGCUUAAAAGUGACAACUUUGAAAGUGGGUGCAUGCUUUAAAGGGACACUGUGCUGUAUAUUGCACGUUUUAAGAUAAAAACAGAUUAUGAAUUUCUCCAUUAGUGUAACAUAACUCAAUUAUAUAGUAUGCUUAGGAUCUGUUUUGCUUGGUAACCUGAGGAGUUUCGUCUUUGCAGGAGCAAUUCUGAAGGAUUUUGGAGCCGCAGAACAGGAAGCAGCACUGCCGCCUUCAGCACCAGAGAUUGACAAGCAGCUCUCAUAUGCUGGCAAGGAAGCAGAAAUUUUGAGAAGGGGCUUAGGGUAGAUCUGCUUAAAACACAAGACUCAGAUGAUACUGAUAAUCAUCA